rnacentral:rRNA from 1 species
GACACGACCGUACCGCAAACCGACACUGGUGCGCGAGAUGAGUAUUCUAAGGCGCUUGAGAGAACUCAGGAGAAGGAACUCGGCAAAUUGACACCGUAACUUCGGAAGAAGGUGUGCCUUUAGUAGGUGAACCUGUACAAGGGGAGCCCAAUGAGGUUGCAAAAAAUCGGUGGCUGCGACUGUUUAAUAAAAACACAGCACUCUGCAAACACGAAAGUGGACGUAUAGGGUGUGACGCCUGCCCGGUGCUGGAAGAUUAAAUGAUGGGGUGCAAGCUCUUGAUUGAAGUCCCAGUAAACGGCGGCCGUAACUAUAACGGUCCUAAGGUAGCGAAAUUCCUUGUCGGGUAAGUUCCGACCUGCACGAAUGGCGUAACGAUGGCCACACUGUCUCCUCCUGAGACUCAGCGAAGUUGAAAUGUUUGUGAUGAUGCAAUCUCCCCGCGGAAAGACGGAAAGACCCCAUGAACCUUUACUGUAGCUUUGUAUUGGACUUUGAACAGAUCUGUGUAGGAUAGGUGGGAGGCUUUGAAGUGUGGUCGCUAGAUCGCAUGGAGCCAACGUUGAAAUACCACCCUGGUGUGUUUGAGGUUCUAACCUAGGCCCGUAAUCCGGGUCGGGGACAGUGCAUGGUAGGCAGUUUGACUGGGGCGGUCUCCUCCCAAAGCGUAACGGAGGAGUUCGAAGGUACGCUAGGUACGGUCGGACAUCGUGCUAAUAGUGCAAUGGCAUAAGCGUGCUUAACUGCGAGACUGACAAGUCGAGCAGAUGCGAAAGCAGGACAUAGUGAUCCGGUGGUUCUGUAUGGAAGGGCCAUCGCUCAACGGAUAAAAGGUACUCUGGGGAUAACAGGCUGAUACCGCCCAAGAGUUCAUAUCGACGGCGGUGUUUGGCACCUCGAUGUCGGCUCAUCUCAUCCUGGGGCUGUAGCCGGUCCCAAGGGUAUGGCUGUUCGCCAUUUAAAGAGGUACGUGAGCUGGGUUUAAAACGUCGUGAGACAGUUUGGUCCCUAUCUUCCGUGGGCGCUGCAGAUUUGAGGAAGCCUGCUCCUAGUACGAGAGGACCGGAGUGGACACACCUCUGGUGUAUCGGUUGUCACGCCAGUGGCAUUGCCGAGUAGCUAUGUGUGGAAGAGAUAACCGCUGAAAGCAUCUAAGCGGGAAACUCGUUUCAAGAUGAGAUCUGCCGGGGCCUUGAGCCCCCUAAAGAGUCGUUCAAGACCAGGACGUUGAUAGGUCGGGUGUGGAAGCACAGUAAUGCGUUAAGCUAACCGAUACUAAUUGCUCGUGCGGCUUGACCUA